AGCUGUUACGGUUUUUUUUUUUUAGGGUUCGGUGUUUUACUGUUGAGCUGCUCAGUGCCCAGCUUAGAGGACCAGGAAAAGGAGUCACCGGCCAUAUGCUGGAGGCUUGAGACACGGCACAGCGGCGCAGCUCGCCUCGCUAUGGUUGGUGGUGGCAGUGGAGCUUGCGAUUGCCACGCGGCUGGAGGGUCCUUUAGGUUGUUUGAGGGACAUUCAUCAAGGAAACCGGAGAAACUUAAAAUGCUCUUCCGCUUCUUUGGAACAGUCACAGAGAAAAGUGAACUCCUUUCAUUCUUGCAGUAAUUUUUCUUGCUGAUGGGAACAGUUCAAGUCAAGUGACAUUUCUUUGUAGAAAUACAGUACAACAUUGCUCUUGGUCUGCAGUAUGUAAAGCUAACGGUUUAAAGAGGAAAUCCUAAAGAGAAUAAAAGAGGUUGCAGUAUAAUGAGUCGUUGUGUAGAAGUUCUGGAGCCUACUCAAUAGACUGGAGAAGCUUAUUUAAGAACCUACUGGGUUGGUGACAUUUACAAGACAGAGUCUUGAGGAUUUUCCAGAACGGGAAAGAUUUUGAAAGAACAAAGAGGAACUACAGAAUCAUUGCUUACAUUGACACCGGCCCUGUUGUCCCAAUGGAUGGGUUUUUUUUGGAUGAACGUCAAAAUUGACCCUGCUGUUAAAGCUUGAAACUUGGAUCUGUUGUAUCUGAGUUCUCUCCUCAAAAAAAGACCUUCAGGAAGUAUCAGAUAACUGAAACAUACCAGAUCACAGCACCACAUGCCUCCUGCCCCUCCCUAAUUUCUGUUCUCUUAUACAUUGUUAAAUUUUUUUCCUGCCCCUAUUAGUCAAGCCCAUGGAUUUGAGACUGAGCUCCCAGCUCCUGGGCCGCAGCACCAGGUUAAAGCUUUCUUCCUUGGCAGUACUUGUCACCUCAGUGACUGGCUUUUUCUCCGAUGAGCAGGAGGACCUGGACGAAACCCCUAGUGUUUGGUCAAGGAACUUGAUGCUCCCUAAAUCCAAAUAUUACGGUUAAAAGAAGAGAGAGGAAAUGUGUGCAGAGAAAGUGUAUUUUACAAAUGAAUUAAAGGUGGAUUCUGAGUUACAGGUUUAUAGAUUUACCUAGAGUUUUGAGUUCAGGAAGCCAUCAUUCUUUAGAGGGCAAUGACCAAACAGUACCAGCAGAAAUUGAAGUACCAGCAGAAGGCUAAGAAGGGAUCAUGGCACAAGCUGCAGUUUCCACCCUGCCCAUUGAAGAUGAGGAGUCCAUGGCAGAUGAG
rnacentral:lncRNA from 1 species